AUUGAACGCUGGCGGCAUGCCUUACACAUGCAAGUCGAACGACAGCACGGGAGCAAUCCUGGUGGCGAGUGGCGAACGGGUGAGUAAUACAUCGGAACGUGCCCAGUAGUGGGGGAUAGCCCGGCGAAAGCCGGAUUAAUACCGCAUGAGACCUGAGGGUGAAAGCGGAGGAUCGCAAGACCUCGCGCUAUUGGAGCGGCCGAUGUCAGAUUAGCUAGUUGGUAGGGUAAAGGCCUACCAAGGCAACGAUCUGUAGUUGGUCUGAGAGGACGACCAGCCACACUGGGACUGAGACACGGCCCAGACUCCUACGGGAGGCAGCAGUGGGGAAUUUUGGACAAUGGGCGCAAGCCUGAUCCAGCAAUGCCGCGUGCAGGAAGAAGGCCUUCGGGUUGUAAACUGCUUUUGUCGGGGAAGAAAUCUUCUGGGCUAAUACCCUGGGAGGAUGACGGUACCUGAAGAAUAAGCACCGGCUAACUACGUGCCAGCCGCCGCCGUAAAAC
rnacentral:rRNA from 1 species